UGUAACACGCAGCUUCUAACUAUUGUAAUACUAGAGGUCAGGAUAAAGUACAAUAUAGUUAGAGCUGCUG
rnacentral:miRNA from 12 species